rnacentral:rRNA from 1 species
AAUGAACGUUGGCGGCGUGGAUUAGGCAUGCAAGUCGAGCGAGAACCGUAGCAAUACGGGGACAGCGGCGAAAGGGACAGUAAUCUGUAGGUACCUACCCCUGGAUCUGGGAUAGCUGCGGGAAACUGCAGGUAAUACCGGAUAAUGUCUCCGGACCAAAGGUGUGAUUCCGUCUGGGGAGGGGCCUGCAUCCUAUUAGCUAGUUGGCGGGGUAACGGCCCACCAAGGCGACGAUGGGUAGCGGGUGUGAGAGCACGACCCGCGUCAUUGGGACUGAGACACUGCCCAGACACCUACGGGUGGCUGCAGUCGAGGAUCUUCGGCAAUGGGCGAAAGCCUGACCGAGCGACGCCGCGUGCGGGAUGAAGGCCUUCGGGUUGUAAACCGCUGUCGUAGAGGAGGAAAUGCAGGGGGGUUCUCCCCUUUGUUUGACCUAUUCUAGGAGGAAGUACGGGCUAAGUUCGUGCCAGCCGCCGCGGUAA